rnacentral:rRNA from 1 species
AGCAGCCGCGGUAAUUCCAGCUCCAAUAGCGUAUAUUAAAGUUGUUGCAAUUAAAAGCUCGUAGUUGAAUUUCGGGAUCAUAAGGUUGGUCGUGCCUCUGGUAUGUACUGAUCUCGAUGGUUCCUCUUUCUUGAAGAACCGUAAUGGCAUUAAUUUGUUGUUGCGGGGAAACAGGACUGUUACUUUGAAAAAUUAGAGUGUUUAAAGCAGGCAAUCGCUUGAAUACAUUAGCAUGGAAUAAUGAAAUAGGACGUUCGAUCCUAUUUUGUGGUUUCUAGGAUUGACGUAAUGAUUAAUAGGGAUAGUUGGGGGCAUUAGUAUUCAAUUGUCAGAGGUGAAAUUCUUGGAUUUAUUGAAGACUAACUACUGCGAAAGCAUUUGCCAGGGAUGUUUUCAUUAAUCAAGAACGAAAGUUAGGGGAUCGAAGACGAUCAGAU